rnacentral:miRNA from 1 species
ACGAGGGCUAGAGUACUAGGUGA